rnacentral:rRNA from 1 species
GACGAACGCUGGCGGCGUGCUUAACACAUGCAAGUCGAACGGAAAGGCCCUGCUUUUGUGGGGUGCUCGAGUGGCGAACGGGUGAGUAACACGUGAGUAACCUGCCCUUGACUUUGGGAUAACUUCAGGAAACUGGGGCUAAUACCGGAUAGGAGCUCCUGCUGCAUGGUGGGGGUUGGAAAGUUUCGGCGGUUGGGGAUGGACUCGCGGCUUAUCAGCUUGUUGGUGGGGUAGUGGCUUACCAAGGCUUUGACGGGUAGCCGGCCUGAGAGGGUGACCGGCCACAUCGGGACUGAGAUACGGCCCAGACUCCUACGGGAGGCAGCAGUGGGGAAUAUUGCACAAUGGGCGGAAGCCUGAUGCAGCAACGCCGCGUGCGGGAUGACGGCCUUCGGGUUGUAAACCGCUUUCGCCUGUGACGAAGCGUGAGUGACGGUAAUAGGUAAAGAAGCACCGGCUAACUACGUG